UUGAACGCUGGCGGCAUGCUUUACACAUGCAAGUCGAACGGCAGCGCGGGCUUCGGCCUGGCGGCGAGUGGCGAACGGGUGAGUAAUGCAUCGGAACGUGCCCAGUUGUGGGGGAUAGCCCGGCGAAAGCCGGAUUAAUACCGCAUACGACCUGAGGGUGAAAGCGGGGGACCGAAAGGCCUCGCGCUAUUGGAGCGGCCGAUGUCGGAUUAGCUAGUUGGUGGGGUAAAGGCUUACCAAGGCGACGAUCCGUAGCUGGUCUGAGAGGACGACCAGCCACACUGGGACUGAGACACGGCCCAGACUCCUACGGGAGGCAGCAGUGGGGAAUUUUGGACAAUGGGGGCAACCCUGAUCCAGCCAUGCCGCGUGCGGGAAGAAGGCCUUCGGGUUGUAAACCGCUUUUGUUCGGGAAGAAAUCCUCUGGGCUAAUACCCCGGGGGGAUGACGGUACCGGAAGAAUAAGCACCGGCUAACUACGUG
rnacentral:rRNA from 1 species